UUUUCUAAUAUAAAAUCCAAAAUUCGUUUUAUACAAUUGAAACUAUGAGCAAUACAAUAAGCAUUAAAUGUAGAGAAUCUAUAAUAUAGGUUAUUGAAUAUUAUAUAAUAUAUUAUCUAUAGUCGUGGUCCCUGAACUACAACUGUUCCUGACCAGCUAUAUCUUUGUAAUAGCACAGAAUAAUGCUAUGGUACUAUGAUAUAAGUUAGUGAUAAACUGAUAACUGAUAAUGAUAACAACGGGUAUAUUAUAUUAAUAUUUUAAAUAAAAAACCGACACGGUCACAUUAAAAACAAAUGAAAUAAUAAGAAAAAAAAUUAUAUUAUAGGAUUCGCGAGACAGUACCUGAUCGAUCGUCUAUAAUAUAUUUCAAAACGUUGUACAAACGCAAUUCACCAGUCAAAAUUACGAACACCGAAUGAGCAAUAGUGAACGGUUAUUGCGAAAUACAGGUAAAAUAAAUAAAUGUCGUUGAUUAUAGACCUAUAGUACUUUGCUCUUACGACAUUAACAUACGUGGACGCGGAUAAUAUUAUUCAGAAAUUAGGGACAAGACUGUUUUUAAUUUAACAACCCUACUAUUAAAAUGGAAAAGAAGAACAACUGGGUGAUUCCAGUAAAAUCCAUAAUAACAAAACUGUAAUCGAGGAAAAAAACUGUUGAGCAGGACCCAUCAACCAGUACACGGACCAUAAUACAAGGAAACCCCAAACCCAUCACAGUGGAACAGAGGAUUGAAAAUAGUAAUAUCAUGGAAUACAAACACAGGAAUCCCAAUAAAUACCAACACUACAUACAGAGAGACUUAUGAAUUACCGCCGAAACAACUAAAAUAGUAACCACCUACAUCCUAUCAAAUGUGAACUUAAUUUUUCCAGCAAUUUUCAAUCUAAAGAAAUAAGUGAACAUAAAAUUGAAUGAAUAAUAAGGGAGUAAACUCUUUUUAAUAACUAAUUAGGACAUUUGGGAACAAAAAUUAAUCGUAUUCCAUUUUAGAAAGUCAAGAUAAACAACUGGAUAAAUCCAGCAAAACGUCAAUAGCAGCACCGCAGAUACAAAGAAAAUGAAACAUCUAGCAGCAACAAUCCACAAUUACACAAGACAAAAAACAAGGAAAUAAAGAGUGGAAAACAGGAUAAAGACAACUAGCAGAAUACUAUUUUAUUCAUUUGGUUUUAAUCACACACUUUUGAAACAGUUACCUUUAAAAUCUAUUGUUAAAUGUAGAGUAACUAAAAUAUGACUUAUUGAAUAAAAUUACAAUAUUAAAUAAAUAAAAAUAAAAUCCUUUUUUAUAAUUAAUAAUAUG